AUUGAACGCUGGCGGCAGGCCUAACACAUGCAAGUCGAGCGGAUGAAGGGAGCUUGCUCCUGGAUUCAGCGGCGGACGGGUGAGUAAUGCCUAGGAAUCUGCCUGGUAGUGGGGGAUAACGUCCGGAAACGGGCGCUAAUACCGCAUCCGUCCUGAGGGAGAAAGUGGGGGUUCUUCAGACCUCACGCUAUCAGAUGACCCUAGGUCGGAUUAGCUAGUUGGUGGGGUAAAGGCCUACCAAGGCGACGAUCCGUAACUGGUCUGAGAGGAUGACCAGUCACACUGGAACUGAGACACGGUCCAGACUCCUACGGGAGGCAGCAGUGGGGAAUAUUGGACAAUGGGCGAAAGCCUGAUCCAGCCAUGCCGCGUGUGUGAAGAAGGUCUUCGGAUUGUAAAGCACUUUAAGUUGGGAGGAAGAGAAGUGAGUUAAUACCUGGCUGUUUUGACGUUACCAACAGAAAAAGCACCGGCUAACUACGUG
rnacentral:rRNA from 1 species